GAUGAAGAACGUAGCGAAAUGCGAUAAGUAAUGUGAAUUGCAGAAUUCAGUGAAUCAUCGAAUCUUUGAACGCACAUUGCGCCCGGCAGUAUUCUGGCGGGCAUGCCUGUUCGAGCGUCAUUUCAACCAUCAAGCCUCAGGCUUGUGUUGGAGCCCUGCGGCUGCCGCAGCCUCCCAAAACCAGUGGCGGGCUCGCUAUCACACCGAGUGCAGUAGUUUACUCUUCGCUCAGGGCGUGUGGCGGGUGCUAGCCGUGAAACCCCCAACUUCUCAAGGUUGACCUCGGAUCAGGUAGGAAUACCCGCUGAACUUAAGCAUAUCAAUAAGCGGAGGA
rnacentral:misc_RNA from 1 species